GAAGACUAUGGAGUGCCUUUCAAACUCUGCGUGGUUCAGAGCAAAUUACGAGGAAACAAGCAAGAGAGCAAAAAAGUUUUGUGAAAAGAUUACUUUCUUCACCUCAUUCUGGAAGACAAAACACAAACUCAGGAUUGACGAAUAAACAAACAUCCCAUAGUGCUGUAUCCCGUGACCCUGUGUUAGGAUAUAGCGGGUUGGAUAAUGGAUGGAUGGAAGUUCAAAAUGACACCACUGCGUUUAAUACGGAUAAGAAGUUUAUGAAUUCAUUUAUUUAUUUCAUUGUUAUUAAUGUAUUUUAUUUAUU